GGGCGGGCACAGCAGGCGCAGGGUCUUUCCCACAUGCUGGGCUGCAGAGUGAGGAAAACCCAUCCCGGAGGAAGCUGGCGGUUAGGCUGGCUGAAGGCAUUCUGCAUGAUGAACACAACAGUUCUCAAAAAAGUAAUGAUGUCAUACCAGAGCAGCAGGAGGGGGUGGUCUGUGACCAUGUAUGCUUGAUAAAUUCUGGAUUUAAGCAAAGUAGGCCGGCUUCUUUGUCAAUAGACGUAUUGGGUUAUUCCCGGGGGGGCUGCAGCCGGAGCACCUCCCACUCCUUCGCAGGGGUUAUUUCUGAAGACCCCCUCUUGGAGGAGCUCUGCUAGGGCCCUGCGUGCACCUGCUGCCCUGGCAUCCUGGCCAGCAGCUCCGCCAGGCUCUAGUGUGUAUGGCCUGGGCUACCUCCCGGUACUGUCGCCGCAGGCCUUGGGACCCGUUCCCGCCGCGAGGCUCCCGAGGUAGCCCCGGCCUCCGGUUCUUCUCAGAUAGCCCCGUCGUCCAGCCCCAGAAGCGGGCACUAAUGCCUUCCCUGAACGCUGAAAGUUGUUGAAUGGAUAUGGACAAUGAUUAGAAUCAUGUAGAAAACAUUAAGUGAUGGUCAGUAUGUUCUGUUUGGGAAAUACUGAAAUGUGCAACACAAGCUAGAAAUAACAACAUGCAGAACAGCACAACUUUGUAAGACCCGCGCUGAAGGAGGCAGCAUUUGUGUGAGAGCGCCCGGCGCUGCCCAGAAGAGCUGGAACGCCCAAGGAAGGCCGCUGCUCAGCGCAGGACCCCUGGGCUCCCGGAAACGGGAUAGCGUUGCUUAUCUUUAAGCUCGUUGCUGUUCCUCCUAGAGUUGCAGAUUCAAGGGGCCUCACCAGUGACUGUGAUGACUGUAAAACCCAGGCUUGUGGGUGCUAUCUGGACACCAAGGAGACAGAGGCACAUGGCACCACCCAGGACAAGCACUGAAGUUGGACUACCAGGUUCAAAUCCCAGCUCCCCACCUUUAACUGUGUGACCGGGCCUUGGGGAAGUUAUUUCAAUUUUCUCUGCCCCCUGUCUAUCAAGCAUGGUGGUUGAUAACACCUAUUUUUCAGAACCACAGUGAGAAUUGUGGAGAUGCUCUAUUUGAGAUGUACAGGGUUCUCAGCUUACAGGCAGCACUCAGCGAAUGUUAAUUAUCAUUAUCCAAAACUGGGAUCCCCAGCAGGAGCAGCCCCAGCGCUCCCAUGAGGCUUGGUUCGACCUGAAUGAUUGACACUGCCAAGAGCAACAUCACCUUCCCUCUCCAAGCCUGAUGGCCCCUUCUCUGGGUCUCCGUCAUGACAGAAGUGGCCCAGCCAGCUAACCCUCUGUCCAGGCCCUCCAGUGGCAUGAGAGGUCCACUUUCCUGAGAUGAGCCUCCAGCCAUCUGGAACUAGCCUGUUCCUCCCUCCCUCUGUUCCUGCCCUCCCGAAGCCCACAGUCCCUCAGACCCGCAGUUUGGUCCCAGCUCCCUCACUGCACCCCACCUGAUGCCAUCUCUCCCAGCCAUGCAGAGCAGAGCCCUGAUGCCUGACCCAGAGCUGAUGUUCCUUUCCGGGAUGAUAUGAAGCAUCAGAGAGGAUGUUCCAGCCCUGGGGAAGCCCAGCAUGAUUGGUUCUUCCUCUAACAACAUUUACACACUUGACAUCAUCCACUUAACAUUUUAUCGGUAAAGGAGCUAUGGCAACAUGAGCUCACCUGACUGAGAAGGAAACUGAUUCCACUUAUAAAAGGGAACUUGUAACAGCAACAUGUGUUCCAAACCCAGGAGCACCUGGGCCUAAAUCCUGCUCUCCUUCUUACUCCAGGCAUAAGGAAGCCUGGCUGUUGCCAGCCUCUCACCUGCAGAAGAUGCACCUCAUAGCACCCUGGACAGGUGAACCAAGACACAUCACUGAAGUGCCAAUACAUGCACCCCUGAGGGCCCAAAGCCAACCUGAGGGCUCUGCCUGCCUGGCUCCCUGCACCCGAGUCCCCAGAAACGUGCUCACAGCACAGGGAGCUCCAGAGCCCAAGCCUCGGAGUGUUGGAAAACAACAUCAACAUGAGAAAUGGGUGCUAGGAGUACCUUUGUAGGUGACAUUAAAAUGCUUACAUUAGAUAGCAGAGAUGAGACCAAAGAAACUGGGGGGAGGGGGUGCCCCCAGCCCUGACACUGUGGGCCUUUGCCUGUAUGCAGCCUUUGCCCUGCAAGGGACAGCAGCUUCCUCUGCCUAUAAUACCUGCAAGCCUCCCAUUCUCAUGGAGUGCUUCCUUUUGGCUUUUUGCUUUUAGGUUUCUUUUGUUUGUUUUUAAUUUUAAGAAUAACCUGUUUGGAGAGCUGGGCAUGGGGGCUUGUUCCUAUAGUACCAGCUUCUCAGAAGGCUGAGGCAGAAGGAUCACUUAAGCCUAAGAGUUUGAGACCAGCUCUCAUAUAGUGAGACCUUGUCUCUAAAGAAAAGAAAGAAAAAGAACCUGUUUGGACACACAAAAUCUAACUUUUCCCCCUCUCUUCCUGAUCCCUUUCCAGCAGUGCUUUGGGGCUGAGCAGUAAAAUCCAAAAGAGAUUCAGUUGGGUAAAAUACUAAAAUCUAGCCAGGCACAGUGGCUUGCACCUGUAACCCCAGCACUUUGGGAGGCUAAGGCGGGAGGAUCACUUGAACCCAGGAGUUUGAGACCAGCCUGGGCAAAAUAGUGAGACCGUGUCUCUAUAAAAAAAUUUAAAAAUUAGCAAGGCAUGGUAGCAUGCACCUGUAGUCCCAGCUACCUGGGAGGCUGAGGUGAGAGGAUCGCUUCAGCCUGAGAGGUCAAGGCUGCAGUGAGCUGUGGUUAUGCCUCUGCACUCUAGCCUGGGAGACAGAGCAAGACCCCGUCUCAGGAAGAAAAAAAAAAGUCUGCUCUCCCUGCAAAUCGCGUGUGCUGGUGAUGAGGGAGGCAUGUGCAGUUCGUGAAAAAAUAGGGUUUCUGAUUUUCCACUCCUCAGGUACAGGGUGGGUGGGCCUGGGACUCCUGGUGAAGCCCUCUACAGGCAGGGUCAUAUCCUACCCUCAGGCUGGUGGGCAGGGCACACUCCACCCUCAGGCUGGUGGGCAGGGCACACUCCACCCUCAGGCUGGUGGGCAGGGUGGCCCUCAGUCUCAGGAUGGUGGAUGGGGGCAGACCCCCACCAUUAGGCAGCGAACAUGUGGGAAGACAGAAGAAAGAGGAAGGAAAGGCACUGAACAUGUCCACCAGGGUAUUGCCCAGGCCAGCAUAUUUGCAGGGUUAGUUUGUCCCCUCUGUCAGGAGGGGUCUUCAGCCCCUGGGGAAGUAAGGUGCCUAAGCUCUCACAGCUGAUAAGUGGCAGUUCUUGCAGAUGAGUCUGAGCUAGGUGCUAAUGCCUCAGUGCUCAUUUUUCCAGGCUCUGCACCACCAAGACCUUACUCAGGUGUGUCCAGGCCAGCAUUUCCCAAGGGCAUCUAGAGAUCACUGUGAUCACUGGUUGUUGAUGUUCAUUUCCCCCACUAGUGUCUAAGCCAUAUGAAAUUCAUAUUAUUUCUCAAAUCUGGCUCUCCCACCUACUGCCUGUGUGACUGCGGGGACAUCCCAGAGCCUCUCCAAGCCUCUUUUCUUAUCUAUAAAAUGAGAUGGUAAUAAUAACAUUGACCUCAGCCGGGCUCGGUGGCUCACGCCUGUAAUCCCAGCACUUUGGGAGGCUGAGGAGGUUGGAUCACCUGAGAUCAGGAGUUCCGAGACCAGUCUGGCCAUAUGGUGAAACCCCUUUUCUACUAAAAAUACAAAAAAUUAGCCAGACGUGGUGGCAGGCAUCUGUAAUCCCAGCUACUCCAGAGGCUGAGGCAGAAGAAUCACUUGAACCCGGGAGGCAGAGGUUGCAGUGAGCCAAGGUCGCACCACUGCACUCCAGCCUGGGUGACAAGACUCCAUGACCUCACAAGGCUGUUGUGAGCAUUAAAGGUCUCCAUCCACGUAAAGCACUUAUAAAACUGUCAAGCCCAUAAUAAGUACUCAAUAAAUGUCAGCUGUUAAUAUUGUUAUCUGAAAAUUCUGCCUCUAACCUGAGUUCUUAAUUGGGUUUACUUUUAAAGGGAUCAAAUCUAGUUCUCCUUGAGCACUUCAUAUACAAAGAAUGCAGAAUGAAAGGGCCCAUGAGAA
rnacentral:lncRNA from 1 species